GGAGCGAUGGGUGAGUGGUUAAUACCACCAGACUGUAAAUCUGGCGCCCUGACGGGCUACGUAGGUUCGAAUCCUACUCGCUCCACCA
rnacentral:tRNA from 2 species